GCAAAAUAUCCACACAACCAAUUAAUCUAAUUAGGAUAGUAAUUAAUUUGAUUAGUAUUCAUACAAAGUUUGAGGCUUACUCCCUCUUGAGCUGCAAGCAUGUCAAAUAUCUGGUUAUGACACUACUAAUGACGGGUGAAUUUGCGAAUAGUGAGGCAACAAUGAAGCACCAUUGAUGGAAUUUUUAAAUUUGAUUUAUUGUUUUUUGUGGAUAUUUUGCUUUUUUCAGCACCUCUUGCUAACAAAAAAAAAAUCGUAAUUAAUAUUUUGCAUAGUUUUGGAAGUGCAAGGGAGGUAAAUGAUCAUAAUGAAACAACAAGAUACCACCUUACUUUCGAGUCAAACCACAAAUGGUUUUACUGCCGAAACCUUAACAGGGUUGGUGAUGUGAGCCAAAGAAGACCUCGUUGUUGUUUUUGAUUUUUUCUGUUUGUUUUUAUCUCUACCAUGUUAAUUGUUUACAAUUUUAUGCACGUCUCUAUUAUUUCUUAUCAUUUUAAGUGUUUUAACGAAUUCAAAGAGAAAGCUAGUGCUCACUGCUCAAGUGGCGGUCGCUAAGGAUACUCUGGAGGUGAGGUGAUCUUUACUUAUUAUUCAAUUGAGAGGCAAUAGUUAAAUAUUUACAAAGCAAAUAAUCAAUAUUGAACUCCACACAUCAUCAAUGGCAAAUCAAUGAAUUUUAAUUGUACUUAUUUGCUUAUAUCUGAGUCAUUUAUUCCUUUUAGGUAAAAUGUGAAACCAAAUCAGCGAGGAGGCACUCCUUGGGGAGCUUUAGUGAUGACUAGGAAAACUUCUAAAGCGAGGGCAUUCCCAUUCAUUUGAUGAGGUGGUGGAGUGAACCAAUAUGUGAAUACUUGCCUCCGGCCAUCAUCUAGUCGAUUUGCCCUUGCCAACUGGACUAGUCGCCGUCGCAGUCUGCAGUCGCCGCUGAACCUGGACCAGUCGCAGUCCGCACUCCGGAGACUGCACAGCCUCCGGCCCUCAUCUAAUCGAUUCGUCCUUGCCGACUGGACUAGUAGCCACCGCAGUCUGCAGUCGCCACUGGACCUGGAUCAGUAGCAGUCUGCACUCUGGCUAUUCCGCAGUCUGUAGUAUACUGAAGCUGGAUUUCGAAUUUAACAUGUUACAGAUUCAGCGUCAUCCCUUUGAUCUGAUUUUGCAGUUUUUCAAACAAUUCCAGCCUGUUUUAGGCUUCAAUUGGGUUGUCCUCUGAGAACCAGAUGCAAGAGCAUGAGAAUUUGUGUUGGAGAAAGCACGAAGGACACGAGGAUAAACAUCAGCAAAUGAUGGAAACUCUACACUAGCAGGUAUCUGGGACUAGACCACCUCAAACUCAGGUUUGUAACCCGCUAGAACCUAAAGAACUGUCAUCUACUCUCUUUUCUUCUGCAUCUCAUGAAUAUUGGCAAUUAUACGUCGCACAGUGUUAAGCUCCUCAUGAAUACACAUCAUCACUCCAAAAUACUCUAUAAGACUCCUAUUCUUAUCUCCUUGUUGUAACUGAAAGUACUCCAGUGAUAAAUUAUAAUAUGCGUAAUGUUACUAAAAAUCUCUUGGAUGCAUGCACAUCUGUGCAUUUUGGGGUUCCAUCGAGUUCUAUAAUAGUGAAAUAACCAAAGCAUCAUCCUGAAUGCACACUUUUGUUGUUCUCAUUAGAAGGUCCAGAUUGGAACAAGUGGUUAAAUUUUCCUAGUCCUGUUAAAUAAAUGCUAGCAGCCUUGGACCACUAAAUGUUAUUCUUUCCAUCCAACUUUUUAGUUGUAUAAUAUGUGGAAGCGAGGAAGGAAACAUGUUUUUGGGAUUCAUAGACUUCAUCCAAACACUCACUAACUAGAACAAUGUCAAACAAGAGGAACAAUCAAACUAACGGGAACAACCAUGAACAAGGUGAACCACCGAAACAACCACAGACAAGUUACCAACAAACUGAUAUAACACUGCCACAACCUCACAAAAUCAACUUAGGAGCACUACCACUACUCCAAGAGACUUACAAAUGGCCUUUACUAACACCGAACAACGACUAACAGGUUGCCCAGUGUAUGGUUGAAAAAGAUUGGAUCUUCGAACAAAACACAUGCCCGACAAUGUGAUAUUAUGGUUUCUGGAAGGAAUUAGAACAUGCUAAGAGGAAAAAAUCGGAAAAUGUGGUAGGAAACUGUCUCACGCUCCAACAUUUGAGGUUAGGACUAUCAACAAUCAUCUGACACGUGGGGGUGUGUGGGAUGGUUUCCAAUGACAAGAUUUUAUAGGGCUAUAGUUCGGAGGGUUCUGUUUUCGGUUGUGGUUGGUUUUGGGAGAUAUUGAAGUGUUGUGGUGGUUCUGAGAAGGGUAGCAACAUGAGGACAUUUUCUAGCGACACUUGAAUUUCAUUUGGUGGUAGGGUUUAGGUUGGAUCUUGCUCUAAUAUCAUAUUGAGAUUUUUGGUAAAAUGAAAGACCUAACACAAUGGUAGGUAUUCUCUCUCUUUAUUUAUAAUACAUAUCGAAUACAUUCUAAUUACCAUAAUACACUUAUGAACUCUCAGUUAGUAACAUAACACUAACACACUAGUGAUACUAAAUGACUACAAUAACCAUUAACAAAUAAUAUUUCUUUUAUUUAGGCUACAUUUUUUUACCUUUAUUGAAAUAGAUACGAUAAUUAAGGACCAGUCACAAUUAAAGUAGAAAAAGAUUAUAAUUGACUCGGUCAUUUUACAAAUCUAAAAUCCUUUAGUUCGAAAUCAAGGGAUGUUGCGAUAUGAAAUAAAAGGAACGUAAAUUUGUGAUCGAUUUACUAAAAAUAUUAUCUUUAAUUCAUUAGCACAUUUAUUUCACAUGGAAUUCCAUGCAUGUCAUGCACAUGCAUAUGUGUGUGUAUGAGUGCGCAUGUGCCAAUUAUAUGCGUGUACUUAUGUCUGCACAUGAAUGCAAGUCGUGAUAGAGCUAGAAAAUUGUUGGAGGAAUGCCAAGGCGAGUCACCAUAUAGAUACAUCGUUAUUUAUAGGCUCAAACACAAUUUUUUAGAGAGAGAAAAGUAAAAACAUGCCCAGAUAAAUAGCAUGGACACAUUUACACAAAAUAAGUUGUGCUUACGCAUUAGAUAAAGGAGAAAAUAUGCCAUAAACUCUGCUGUUGAUUCAAAUGCUGCCUGAUACUUUUAAAAGUAAUAUGUAAAUCCCUUGAACUGUGUUUCUGGUUAUAAAAAAACUCUUCAAUAAAAAAUUGGCUGUUGAAUUGAAAGAAUUGAGGUCAUGUGUAUUAUACAUGAACAUUUGUGUGUUUUUAUUUUUUUGAAAAAAAUUAUUUUAUAUCUAGUAAACAAAAUAAAGGGUGAAUAUCUUCAUUUUUUUUUUUAUUUAUAAAGAUGCAUAA